UAAUACGGAGGGUGCAAGCGUUAUCCGGAUUUAUUAGGUUUAAAGGGUCCGCAGGCGGAACUUUAAGUCAGUGGUGAAAGCCUACAGCUUAACUGUAGAACUGCCAUUGAUACUGAAGUUCUUGAGUGUGGUUGAAGUGGGCGGAAUAUGUCAUGUAGCGGUGAAAUGCAUAGAUAUGACAUGGAACACCAAUUGCGAAGGCAGCUCACUAAACCAUUACUGACGCUCAUGGACGAAAGCGUGGGGAGCGAACAGGAUUAGAUACCCUGGUAGUCCAUGCCGUAAACUAUGAUCACUAGAUGUUGGCGAUAUAAUGUCAGCGUUUUAGAGAAAUCGUUAAGUGAUCCACCUGGGGAGUACGUUCGCAAGAAUG
rnacentral:rRNA from 1 species